GGGUGUGAUAAUAUCAGCACUAAAUCACUGGAUCCCAUCAGAACUCCGACGUUAAGUGUGCUUGGGCCAAAGUAGAACUAGGAUGGGUGACCCCCUGGGAAGUCCUCGUGUUGCACUCC
rnacentral:rRNA from 15 species